GCCAGCAGCCAUAUCACCCUGCAACUCCCCACUGGCAGCCCACUGGAGCUCAGCAGGUGUGAGCCUGGUCAGUACCUGGAUGGGAGACCUCCUGGGGAAAAUGGUUGCUGCUGGAA
rnacentral:rRNA from 1 species